rnacentral:rRNA from 1 species
UACGGAGGGUGCGAGCGUUGUCCGGAAUCAUUGGGCGUAAAGGGCGCGUAGGUGGCCCGGUCAGUCUUUGGUGAAAGCGCGGGGCUCAACCCUGCGUCGGCCAGGGAUACUGCCGCGGCUCGAGCACUGUAGAGGCAGGCGGAAUUCCGGGUGUAGCGGUGGAAUGCGUAGAGAUCCGGAAGAACACCGGUGGCGAAGGCGGCCUGCUGGGCAGUUUAGCUGACACUGAGGCGCGACAGCCGUGGGGGAGCAAACAGG